rnacentral:lncRNA from 1 species
GGAAUAAUAUGCUCCUUAAGUUUGUCUACUUACUUAGGAAACACCCUGUAUAUUAGGCUAACAUGUGCUGCCUGGGUCGCUACAAUGACUUUCAGUUGUAUCUGCAAUAGUAGUACAGUUGUACCGAUGAUCUCUUCAGAUUCGGUUAUUUUUAGCCGCAAAGCUAGUCGUAGUCGCUGGAAUAGGAGUUGAUCAACCUACUUGAGCGACUACGACUACUUUGCGACCGGAAAUAAUAAUUUCGUCUCAAUAAGCGAUACAAGACUGCGACUUAACGAACGAUUCCGCGACUUCGUUGUGGCGGAGGCUUAAAUUGUCGCGAGGGUAGGACGAGAUACGGGGACAGUAAAGGAGGAAGAUGCAGCACACGGCAGAUUCUGCGUCAAUCAUUAAAUUCGUCUUAUUUCGCGAAAUGAACAUUAUAUAUAGGUAACAUCAUACAUAGCGUAGCGUAGCGUUGCGCACGGUUGCGCACGCGAGCGCGCGCGCAUUUCUCACACAGAAAACGCAUCGUGUCUAUCACAGAAUAAAUAUGGUCGGAAGACCCGCGAUACGAUGGAACAAUAAGAGUUCACCGCUCUGCCAAGUAGUACACGCGGAGACUCUUAUACGUGCGGUCCCUUAUGCACGCGGCAUACGCACGCAGACACACACACACACGUACAUACAUACACAACUCGCGCGUGCGUGGCACACAUUCGCACGAAACUGUGCACGCGCGGGGUUUCUCACAUUUUCGCAUCCCUGCACAAUUCGCAAUUGUACUCUCUUAAAGAAGCGUUUAAGUACCUCCAUGAAAUAUUUCAUAAAAAAUUUCGUAUCCUCGUCAGUUCCCGGUUUCAUCCAGCUCGGAAAGACUAUAAAGUAUCGAAUCGUGUUUGGAAAUCCUCGGGUCAAAGCGAAGAUCGCUACGCGAUUAGGGACAUUAAGUCGCUCUAUGAGAAGAAACUCUGGAGUUAUAACGAUGUAGCAUACAUGAAUAAAACACGAUCUUAUGCAUAUUACAUGAAACGAUCUCCGCUCCGCAAGCAAAGUUCUUCUAAUAUCAGACGACAGUCAUAAAUAAUGCAUGUCGUAACGCCUCUGCGCGAGCAUUCGGAUUGAAUUGGUCCUCCGGGGACUCCCGUUUCUCUCUCGUAAGAUUUGGUACUUGUAACGCUCUCUCGUCGUGCAAACGGUUGACCCAUAGCAUUGUACGGCGUUUCGCGGUCGUCGAAUUUAAUAUUUCAAAGCGUAAAGGUGUACUGUUAUCGCCAGUCUGCUGCUCGUCGGAUCCUUCUGACUCUCCCUUAACUUUUAUUUAGCUCUUUAACUCCACAGAAAUAUCGGACACACGCUGGAAAUUUAAUUCCUGGGUUAAACAGAGCUUGCAAAUCAUAAGAAAAAUGUUAUAAAAAUAUAAUAGUAUCACAGUGAAUAAUCGCUCGUAAAACUUUCCUCUCGUUUCCGUAAUGAAUCUUAAAUCGUAUGCUUGCUCGCGCAAGACCAAGAACGAGAAAGAGAGGAAGAGAGAGAAGGGAGGGAAUAGUAUCGGGAAAGAAAAUUGUUUAUCAGGAUUUGAUUGCCGAGAGUUAUCCGCGUAACACACGUACAAGUCCAUUCGCGUUUGCAGGUGUCGGUGAAUCGAUAGGCACCGAUAUUAAUGUUAACGUAGCACGUACGGUGUACAAGCAUACGAGUGUGCAAAGUUUACACAUACCGGCACUUACGGAUACUUAUCGAACUCGCGGGAAAGUCAAGAAAGUCAGCGAGCAGGCGAGAUCCGAGAAAAGACCCGCGGGAACUUGAGCGAAACUUUACCGCGUCGUUAAACUCUCGCGAAUCGCGCGUGGAUGCUUCCUUCUUCUCUCUCCCUCUCUCCCUUCCGCACCCCGCGCUCAUUUCUCCUCGCAGUUAAAUCACGCGCACGUGUGUGUAUACAUAUGUAAAAUAUACCGCAGAUGUAUACCGCGUACAUAUACGUGCAAGGAUAAUUACUCUCGAGCAUAACGCAAGGACCUCAUAUCACUCGGCUCGACGACUGCAACUUCAGUUCUUGCACACAGCUACAGCGCGCGCGUGUGUGUGUAUGUGCAUGAUACCGUUACUACGCGCGCCAAGUCACAUAUAGAUAUAUACGUGAACGUACACAUAUAUAUGUACAUAUAUAAAUGAAUUUCUGGCCUUUUGCCUCGUCGUGCGCUAUAUCCUCCAUGUAUUCGAGAACGAUGCAGUACGAUACGUUGUCGUUAACGUGGCCGAGAGAGAGACAAAAGCCUGCCUCAAUAUAUUUAUAUAUAAUAUAUAUAUAAUAUCUUUAUAUACAGGGCGUUAUUUCUCGUUAUAUUAAUCGAAUAUCGUGCAAGUAAACAUAUUUGAUUUUUUUGCUCUUACACGCUACGGUACGCGAACACGCGCGAUAAAUACUUUCCUCUUGUGUGGUCGUUUUUCAUCAGCGUAAGCUCUGUAAAGCGUUAUUUUGGGAAGCGGAAAUUCACCUCUUUUACCUCGUAAUUGUGUCAUUUUUCAUUCCUGUGUGUGACGGUUUUAUAUAUCAUAGAUAAAAUUUUAACUCACGCUCUCAAAACUGUAAAAAUAACGUUUAGUCCCAAAGCCGGAAAGUUUUCACAGUGCGAUGUUAAAUGUCACGCGACGAUUAAACAAAAAUACGAAAUAUGAGCGUAUUAGCACG